UCCCGGAUUCUGGUGGGUUCUUCCACUCAGGCUUGGUGAAGUGCUUCCGGGUCUCCGCUGGCUGCAGACCCUGGUGCGAUGAGGACACCGAGGCCCAGAGAGGUUAAGCGACUCGGCCAAGGUCAAACAGCUAGUAAGUAGUGGAGCUAGGACUCAAACCCAGUCUAGGAAUCAUGUCCACUUUGUUUCCCUCACUCUUCCUUUGUGGGACCGAGACAUUGUGGUUUACUCUGGAUCGACCUUGUAUGGAAGAGACAGAGCUGCAGCAGCAGGAAGAGCAGCAUCAGACCUGGCUCGAAAGCAUCACAGAGAAAGACAACAAUCUGGUUCCUAUUGGCAAGCCAGCCUCAGAGCACCAUGAUGACGAGGAAGAGGAGGAUGAUGAAGACAAUGAGGAUAGUGAAGAGGACUUAGAGGAUGAUGAGGACAUGCAGGACAUGGACAAGAUGAAUGACUACAAUGAGUCACCUGAUGACGGAGAGGUCAAUGAGGUGGACAUGGAAGGCAAUGAACAGGAUCAGGACCAGUGGAUGAUCUAG